rnacentral:rRNA from 1 species
UACAGAGGUCUCAAGCGUUGUACGGAUUCAUUGGGCGUAAAGGGUGCGUAGGCGGCGCGGUAAGUCGGGUGUGAAAUCCCGGGGCUCAACCCCGGAACUGCAUUGGAUACUGCCUUGCUCGAGUACUGGAGAGGGAACUGGAAUUUACGGUGUAGCAGUGAAAUGCGUAGAGAUCGUAAGGAAGGCCAGUGGCGAAGGCGAGUUCCUGGACAGUUACUGACGCUGAGGCACGAAGGCCAGGGGAGCAAACGGG